GUUAAGUUAGUUUAUUUAAAAUGUUGCGUUGUCGGUGCAAAGAUAAGCCUUUGUUUAGCG
rnacentral:tRNA from 1 species